ACCCGAGGCCGGGCCGGAGCCGCAGGCCAGCCGCGAUUCCUUCGGGCGAUGCUGGGGGCUUUCCGGUCGGGGCCGCAGCCGCUUCCGGAGCCGCGGGCGAGGUGCGUUCCCCAGCCUGGUUUGCUCUGGGCUCUGACCCGCCGCCGCGAAUCUCCGCUCGUAACUCCGGGCCUGAACCUGGAGGAGGGAGGAUUUCCUCUGUGCAGCUUUCGAGCGGUAGACUCACCCUGCCAGGCAGACCUAGAUUGGCAUAACCAGAGAUCAGUUCCAGUUGUGAUGCAGUGGGUGUCUACACACUUCUGAUGACACCUUUAUUUUAAAAGCUGAUGUUCCAAGAUCAUUACAACCUGUGGUUCCAAUUAAAGAUUUUAAAGAGAAGAGUUUAAUCCUGCAACAAUUGGUUAGCCCUUCUUAAUUUAGAGGUACCUUUACAAGUUCUUGAUCACCAAGUCGAUUCACCAUGAUCUUGGCUGGCUGUCUUCUUC
rnacentral:lncRNA from 1 species